rnacentral:rRNA from 1 species
UGAACGCUGGCGGCGUGCCUAAUACAUGCAAGUCGAGCGAACAGACGAGGAGCUUGCUCCUCUGACGUUAGCGGCGGACGGGUGAGUAACACGUGGAUAACCUACCUAUAAGACUGGGAUAACUUCGGGAAACCGGAGCUAAUACCGGAUAAUAUAUUGAACCGCAUGGUUCAAUAGUGAAAGACGGUUUUGCUGUCACUUAUAGAUGGAUCCGCGCCGCAUUAGCUAGUUGGUAAGGUAACGGCUUACCAAGGCAACGAUGCGUAGCCGACCUGAGAGGGUGAUCGGCCACACUGGAACUGAGACACGGUCCAGACUCCUACGGGAGGCAGCAGUAUGGAAUCUUCCGCAAUGGGCGAAAGCCUGACGGAGCAACGCCGCGUGAGUGAUGAAGGUCUUCGGAUCGUAAAACUCUGUUAUUAGGGAAGAACAAAUGUGUAAGUAACUAUGCACGUCUUGACGGUACCUAAUCAGAAAGCCACGGCUAACUACGUG